CCCUCCUGGUCGGAUUAGUCCUCUCCCUCAGUCAGGUCAGGCUUCUCCUCCACGGCCAUCUGUCCAUUCCAUCCGGUUACUUGCUGCCAGGUCGCAGUUGCUGCAGCUACUCCAGUCCAAUUCGGCCGACGCUAGAUCAACUGAGAUGCAAAACCCGUGUUCACAUCAUGAGUGAGUCUUCUAACUCGGACAAUGCAAUCAACAAAUUCUAAGACCAAAUUCCGGCGGCACUGGCUCCACAGCUCCUGAGUGUGGAAGGAGGUGAACAGGGAAAAGCAGAGAGGACAAAAGUCACAUCCCCUCCCCGCAGACCCAUACUGGAGAAGGGUGGAAGAUUUCGCUUCGAGUCAAGUUCAGAAUUUUGAUUAACAUCUUGGCAUGCACAUUCGAAUUUCAGAAUCAAGACUGUUGGCCAUAAAAAAUGACUAUAGCCUUGUAUAUUACCUGAACUGAGCAGUAAAAAAAAGUCAUGGUCCUUCUGGGGCUUUUAUUCUGAGACAGGAACCCUGAACAGGCAGGAGAAAGGGAAUGUUGAGAGAAACAAAGACAGUUGGCAACACACGCUGACCACCAUGCGGACGUCCAUCAAACCCAGCACUGGCCCUGGGUACAUGCGCCUUUGCUGUUACCCCAAUACAUUUUCUUCUGCAGAGCAAGCAACAGAACACAUGCAGACCUUAAUAAAUACCACUGGGUAAUGUGACAAUGGCCAAACUCUCCUCACGGGGGAGAGAGUGUCCCCCAGUUUUGCUCCCUUUUAAU